GACGAACGCUGGCGGCAUGCCUAAUACAUGCAAGUCGAACGCGACCAUCCGGUGCUUGCACUGGUGAAGUCGAGUGGCGAAACGGGUGAGUAACACGUGAGAAACCUACCCUGGAGUGGGGGAAUAACUCGAAGAAAUUCGAGCUAAUACCGCAUACCUUCUUACCGCCGAAUGGUGGUUUGAAGAAAGAUUUAUCGCUCUGGGAGGGUCUCGCGGCCUAUCAGCUAGUUGGUGAGGUAACGGGCUCACCGAGGCAUCGACGGGUGGCUGGUCUGAGAGGACGAUCAGCCACACUGGAACUGAGACACGGUCCAGACUCCUACGGGAGGCAGCAGUGAGGAAUAUUUGGGCAAUGCACGAAAGUG
rnacentral:rRNA from 1 species